UUUUUUGGUCUAACAUGCUGCUGCUAAAGUGUGACCACAACUGGAGCUCAAUUUUACAUAUUUGACCUAAAACCAUUACAUAUAUUGAGUAUACUUUUGCCAACACUAUUACUAAUUGCCUUUUCUUUCUCCUCUUGAAGCUGUAGUGUGCUGCAGUGAUGGGUCUGACUUUGAGUCAGACACAGUACACCAGCCUACUAAAAGAGUAGCAGCUCAAGGUUCUUCAGUAGCUCCAACAGCUAUUUCAUCUUUGAAGCGCAGCAAACAAGAAAACGUUGUCUGGAAGCUAAAGCUGGAGAAUGCAAAAGAAAAAAUUAAGUCCUUGGAGAAUGAAAGGGACUUCUUAAGGAACCAACUGUCUGAGGCUUUGGCGCUUGCAAAUAAAGAGGACCAAGUGACAGCAGCGCCCUCCUUGCACGAAAA